rnacentral:tRNA from 14 species
GCCGCAAUAGCUCAGUUGGUAGAGCAAGGGACUGAAAAUCCCUGUGUCCUUGGUUCAAUUCCGAGUUGCGGCACCA